UACGAAGGGUGCUAGCGUUGUUCGGAAUCACUGGGCGUAAAGCGCGCGUAGGCGGCUUGACAAGUCAGAGGUGAAAGCCUGGAGCUCAACUCCAGAAUUGCCUUUGAAACUGUCUCGCUAGAGUGUCGGAGGGGAUAGCGGAAUUGCUAAUGUAGAGGUGAAAUUCGUAGAUAUUAGCAGGAACACCGGUGGCGAAGGCGGCUAUCUGGACGACAACUGACGCUGAGGCGCGAAAGCGUGGGGAUCAAACAGG
rnacentral:rRNA from 1 species